rnacentral:tRNA from 1 species
GCCGGAGUGGCGGAACAGGCAGACGCCCGGGACUUAAAAUCCCGUGGGCCGCAAGGCCCGUACCGGUUCGAGCCCGGUCUCCGGCACCA